rnacentral:rRNA from 1 species
AACGAACGCUGGCGGCAGGCUUAACACAUGCAAGUCGAACGGUUGUAGCAAUACAGCAGUGGCAGACGGGUGAGUAACACGUGGGAACCUUCCUAGAGGUACGGAACAACGCAGGGAAACUUGCGCUAAUACCGUAUACGCUCUUGCGAGGAAAGAUUUAUCGCCUUUAGACGGGCCCGCGUCGGAUUAGCUAGUUGGUGAGGUAACGGCUCACCAAGGCGACGAUCCGUAGCUGAUCUGAGAGGAUGAUCAGCCACACUGGGACUGAGACACGGCCCAGACUCCUACGGGAGGCAGCAGUGGGGAAUCUUGGACAAUGGGCGCAGGCCUGAUCCAGCCAUGCCGCGUGAGUGAAGAAGGCCUUCGGGUUGUAAAGCUCUUUUGUCAGGGACGAUAAUGACGGUACCUGAAGAAUAAGCCCCGGCAAACUUCGUGCCAGCCGCCGCGGUAA